ACUAAUCAACCUUUCAUUCCUCUUCAUUUGUUAGUUUGAUGUGAAUGAAAAGAUGUACUAAAGCAGCAAAUAGCAGGGUUAUAUCUGUGGAGCCUCUUUCAAAGCGUGUUGAAGUUACACUGAAGACCUCAACUGUUUCAGAUACAUCAAAAUCUGAAAGUAUGGAUUUGAGUAAAUUUCAUGUGGGAGAUCUUAUAUCUGGCAGGAUUAAGCGGGUUGAGCCAUUUGGUUUGUUCAUUGCAAUUGACAACACAAACAUGGUAUUUAUGCAUCCUUCAGAGCCAUUUGUGAUCCAUGCAUUUGUAAUAUUAAAGUCUUAUGAUCAAAAUAAAUUAAGAGCUUCAUAUUUCUUAUGUGAUUUUAGCUUUUUAAUUAAAUACAACAUUAUUAUUUGUUUAAGUUUGUGGUUUUUUUUUUUUAUUUCUUAAUUUGGAUGUCUCAAAUGCAUACAGCUUCAUCCAAUCUUUUCAUGGCUGUGGUUGUAUUUAUGUCAAAUUAUGAUUUUACAUAAAUGUUGCUCUUAAGGAAAUGUUAGUGGUCAAUUCGAUUCUGUGAGCUCACUUGAUUAUGGUCCUUUAAUUACCUAGGUUGGAUUGUGCCACGUGUCAGAGAUUUCUGAUGAUCGGAUUGAGAACAUUGAAGCCAAGUAUAGAGCUGGAGAGAAAGUAAAGGCAAUACUAUUGAAGGUAACUCAUUGACAAAAGCUUAAGAUAUGUUACUGGUAUCUAUACUUUUACCUGGACAAGAUUAUAUCCCACUCCUGUUGGUUUUAUUUGGCAUAGGAACUUCUAGUUAUUAACUGCGAGUUUCUGAUGAAUUGUAUGUACAUCUUAUAAUUGGAAGCGCUUUGCAUGGUACCUGUUUUUUAUUUCUGUAACACUUUUAAGGCAUCUUAGUCAGAUGAAUGUGACAAGGAUUCAAAAGGAUGCAUGAUGUACCAAUUAUUCACAUUUUCUUAAUAUUUAUUAUCAGGUGGAUGAAGAAAAGAACAGAAUUUCUUUGGGAAUGAAGAAUUCAUAUAUGAAAGAUGAAACUGUGCACGAAACACCUCUGGAGGAAGGUUCGGAUGAACCUAUUGCAGAUGGAAUGAAGUCUGUAACUUCUAUCCAUGAUAGUUUGAUUGGAACCUCAAAUAUAGACAUUGAAGGUGACAUUGAUCAAUUCCCAAUUCUUUCACUAGCGGAAGAAAGGGCAUACAUUCCUCCACUUGAUGUUGCCCUUGAUGAGAAUGAUCAGUUUGAUGUAAAUAACACAAAUAGUCUAACUGAAGAUCCUGCAAAAGAAGAAGCCACUUUACAUGAAAAGCAGAAGAGUCAUGAAAAGAAAAAGGCAAAGGAGGAGAGGUUUAUAUAAUUCUUUAUAAUGCAUUUGUUUUGCUGUAAAUUUUUAUCUCAAUCAUGUUCUUUCUUUCGCUUUUUGAUUUUUAAUAUAUCGUAUGUGCUGCACAGGGAGAAACAAAUAAGGAUUGCUGAGGAAAGACUACUGGAGGAGGAUGUACCAAGAACUGCUGAUGACUUUCAAAGCGUGUUGAAGUUACACUGAAGACCUCAACUGUUUCAGAUACAUCAAAAUCUGAAAGUAUGGAUUUGAGUAAAUUUCAUGUGGGAGAUCUUAUAUCUGGCAGGAUUAAGCGGGUUGAGCCAUUUGGUUUGUUCAUUGCAAUUGACAACACAAACAUGGGAUUUAUGCAUCCUUCAGAGCCAUUUGUGAUCCAUGCAUUUGUAAUAUUAAAGUCUUAUGAUCAAAAUAAAU
rnacentral:lncRNA from 1 species